rnacentral:rRNA from 1 species
GGAUGAACGCUGGCGGCGUGCUUAACACAUGCAAGUCGAACGGUGAAGCAGAGCUUGCUCUGUGGAUCAGUGGCGAACGGGUGAGUAACACGUGAGCAACCUGCCCCUGACUCUGGGAUAAGCGCUGGAAACGGCGUCUAAUACCGGAUAUGAGCUGCGAUCGCAUGGUCAGCAGUUGGAAAGAUUUUUCGGUCUGGGAUGGGCUCACGGCCUAUCAGCUUGUUGGUGAGGUAAUGGCUCACCAAGGCGUCGACGGGUAGCCGGCCUGAGAGGGUGACCGGCCACACUGGGACUGAGACACGGCCCAGACUCCUACGGGAGGCAGCAGUGGGGAAUAUUGCACAAUGGGCGAAAGCCUGAUGCAGCAACGCCGCGUGAGGGAUGACGGCCUUCGGGUUGUAAACCUCUUUUAGCAGGGAAGAAGCGAAAGUGACGGUACCUGCAGAAAAAGCGCCGGCUAACUACGUGCCAGCAGCCGCGGUAAUACGUAGGGCGCAAGCGUUAUCCGGAAUUAUUGGGCGUAAAGAGCUCGUAGGCGGUUUGUCGCGUCUGCUGUGAAAUCCCGAGGCUCAACCUCGGGUCUGCAGUGGGUACGGGCAGACUAGAGUGCGGUAGGGGAGAUUGGAAUUCCUGGUGUAGCGGUGGAAUGCGCAGAUAUCAGGAGGAACACCGAUGGCGAAGGCAGAUCUCUGGGCCGUUACUGACGCUGAGGAGCGAAAGGGUGGGGAGCAAACAGGCUUAGAUACCCUGGUAGUCCACCCCGUAAACGUUGGGAACUAGUUGUGGGGUCCAUUCCACGGAUUCCGUGACGCAGCUAACGCAUAAGUCCCCGCCUGGAACCGCGAUGUUUAAAAAAUGGCU